rnacentral:misc_RNA from 1 species
UGCAAACCGGGCCUCACUUAGGCUUUGUGUGCUUGUGCAGUGUGCAGAUAUUGUGCACAGUGCACAUAGUGCAGUAGAAGCGAUCGGACUACCUCACAUACCAAGGGUGUAUGUUAAAUACCUCAACUAUUCAGCUGCAGUACAAUACAUGCUCAGCUGCCUGUACAACCAGCUGUACACCUGUACACAGAUGAGUGCAUGUUCUAAACAUGUACUCAUGUUAACCUAGUUUUUAAGUGACGUGAAUUAUAUAAAAUAUAAUUUAUAAAACGUUUUCCUUCAGAUAUUUGAACUAGAAAUAUAUAAUUGUGAAUUCUUGAAUUUGGUUGAAAACCCUGAAUUGUAAAGCUGAACUCAUUGUUAAACGAACCUAGUGGAGCGAGAAAAUGUAUAUUUUAUCCUAUAGCAGAUAUAGCACUGUAACCUUCUAAACCAUGUAUUCAGACCACAACAUAAAGGAAAAAUUCAAAGAGGAUCCAAGAUAUUCUUACCUAAUAAAUGAACUACCAAGAAGAAGUAAAUACGACAGUUCCAGAUCAAAUAAGCCGUACACUCUGACUCUUGAUUAUAGCCAUCGGAGAGAAGAAACCCCCCGUACUCACCGAGAUACCCGGAGCUGGCAGGAGAAUCGACCUCUGCAUGAUAAAGUGCACCCGGAGCAGGAUAGAGUAGACCUGAGUAGGAGGAUGGACGAGUUCAAGAUAAGUCGGAGUAAGGAGUCCAUGAAUAGUAUUCUUGAAUAUGACCGCGGGGUCAGCGGUCCCCGGUCUCGAGGCCCAGAGGAGUCCCAACGAGGGCAUGAUGACCGCCCUCGUAUGGCCGAAGAGCAAUCUCGAGGGAUGACCGAGGCUCCCAGGAGCAUGACUGACCGGCGUGGUGUGGAUGACCGACAUCAAGUAAUGGAUUCAAGACCGAGUUCAAUGAAUGAACGUGUGGAGAGAAUAAAUAUGGAUGACCAUCAUAUGGAGGAUUUAUCCAGGGUUCGGGAUAUGGAUGAACGGAAUCGGCACAAGAAUGAUCGUGGUAGAGUUCCGGAUGAACAAUCCUGCGGGAUAAAUGAUCAUGGAGGCGUUAGAGGAGACGGAGGAGAUGGAAGAGGAGGGAGAGGAGGGGAUGAGGGUAGGUUUGGAGGAAGAGGAGGAGGAGGAGGGUAUAGAGAUGAAGUGGAUGGUAGAGGAAGUUACCAGAACUCAACUUGGAGGUCUGCUGUGGGUGAGGGCGAGGGAGGAAGAAUGGGGUCAAACUCAGAACAGUAUUGUCUCCGAUGGAACUCCUACGAAACGAAUAUCUUGGAUACGUUUGGAGGAUUACUCGCUUCAGAAGCAUUGUCCGAUGUUACACUCUUCUGUGAAGGUCAAUCCUAUAAAGCCCAUCGAUUGGUCCUGGCUGCGUGCAGUACACACUUCUCUAAAAUAUUCUCAAACUCUCCUCUUCACGGUCAGCUGAUUAUCAUCCUUGAUGGAACCCGGUCUCAAGAUCUAGAGAUUCUUCUACAGUUCAUGUACAGGGGGGUAGCCUUCCUACCCUCAGAUAGAAUUGAGAGUGUUCUCCGCACUGGGGAGGUCCUACAGGUGAAAGGAUUAUUCAAUGGAGAUAAUAUUGCUGCUGAGAGAGAGAGGACAUGGUCUCCUCCAGUCCAGGAUAAUCUAAAGAAGGAAGUUGAACCAGCUAGAGAACGAGAUGCAUCUCCCGUCCCGUCAGGGCGAAUUGCAGUUCCUCCGGAGUCCCCGAUAUCUCACAAUCUUCCAAUUUUCCCCCAGCAGCCCUACCCCCGACCCUUCCCUACCUCUAUACCUUCGUUGUACCAGAAUUUCUCCGGGUUUACGCGACCUGAAUCCACCAGUUCGAAACCUACCUCGUCCAGUGUACUCAGUUUCUCCAGCAGUAAGUCUGGUCACCCCUCUCCGAGUCCAGGUCGAGACCCUGGACACCAGUACAAGUUUAGUCCCAGAGACCGGGACGAUCAUUUCGAGACUGCGUCCAAUGGGAAAAUUGAAUUGGGUAAACAUGGCCGAUCUCCUCCCAGCCAUCGGCCUUCGUCGGAACCGUUCGACCGGCCGAGUCCUCGUGGUAAGCUUAUGGUCGCCGAUAACGGUGAAGGCGGUGGUUCUCCCUCCCAAUCCCGCCGUUUUGACGAACCUGAACCUCAGAGAAUGAAGACUGAAGAUAGCCCUGUAGAGCGGAGUAGAACCUUCUCCGGUAGUUUCUCUGACUCCCGUGAGACCCUGAGCAGGAUGAGUUCUCAGAGUAAUCCGACCAGAUCAGAGGCAGCUGAAGCUAUUGUAGAUCUACGGACCAACGACACCGAGGAGAGAAUUAAACGGGAGAACAACCAGGAUUUUCUGCGCCGGUUAGCCCAGGUCAACAGCGAGCGUGAGAACCAGCUGGCGACUAUACAGAAGAUGGAUUUACUGCGACAAGCAACUGCUCGUGGAGAUCAUUUUUUAGUCGGUGCGGGGGGCUUCAGCAGUCCACUGACAGCUCCCCUAGGCAUCCCAGCCAGUGAUCUUGCCAGGAUAGCUCAGACAGUUCCUGAUCCAAAUGCAAUUCCAGGGGAACCUACUUCGGGAACAGGUAAGUGUGUUGCAGGCACGAAGUUAAAAUGUCCUUUCUGUGAGCGAACCUACGGAUAUGAGACCAACCUCAGAGCGCAUAUUCGACAGCGACAUCAAGGUAUUCGAGUUCCUUGCCCCUUCUGCCAUCGAUCAUUUACGCGCAACAACACUGUGCGUCGGCAUAUUGCGCGCGAACAUCGACACCAAGUGAAACCAAACAUGAUCCCAACAAAGUUUGGUCAGACCAAGGUACCUCCGGACCAAAUAUAUCCGGACCCCAUGCAUCAGUCCCAACAGCCCUGACCAGGAGUCCCGUUGGACUGCAGCAGUACUUCAGGUCCAUGGACCACUGUCUACUCCUCUGCAUAAUGAGACUAUAUAUAUAACGCGACUAUGAAUGAAUGAAAUGAAUGAGAGUUCGAUUGUGUUAAGAGAGAAGGUUCUGGUCGCUUUUAUACGUAAGAUAUUCAACCUCUUUGAAACGAAUAAGACUGAUUUUCCUUGCUUGCUAUAUGAAGAGUUACAGUGCCCUCUGCUACAGUCAAUGUACAAACGGGAUUUAUUAAAAAAAAAAGAUUUUGAUCCAGGUGAAAUCCACCUACCUCAUGCUACACUGUUCUAAACAGCUAAACCUCUUAUGUCCCCAAGCGGGGCGGCAGGGUUUCAAAAAAAUGCCAUUUUCGGGUAAUCUGGCGAUAUUGAUUCUGACACAGUAAUCAAGGCGCCACUAACCAAAUUGACCUCUUCUGUCAGAUCUACCUCAUCUACCAGUAGUUUAAUCAAUAGUUUAGCUCUUGGAGCACACACUGGACAGAGAUUAAGCCUCAAUGCAACCCCAGAUAUAGAUACCAGACAUGCCCCCCUUUAUACUUUAUACCUCUUUCUACUCUGUCCAGUUCUGCUCUAGAGCUUUAUAAACCUAGUGCAUUCAGUAUUCUUUGCUGUCAACUUAUUUUAUAAUUGUAACAAUAGUGAUAAAAUUCAAUAGCUUAACUUCUAUUUAAGUAUUCUUACCUUUUUCGUACAAACUUGAAUUUCUCUGCAAGUUUUACUAAUCUUGAUGUGUACCUUGUACUUUGUACUUUGUACUUUGUACUUUGUACAGACAUGUACUUCUCUGCAGUUAAAAUUGUGUACAUGAAAGAGACUGAGAAUAUUUAAAAAGAUGAAUAUAUAAAUCCUGAAGGUUGGUUGGAGUGGUGGAAUAUAUAAAGUGGGGUAUCCGGUACAUUUCAGAAAAUGAACCACAAACCCCCUUUUUGUAUUCAGAAUCAAAUGUAAAUCAAAAGAUAAAACAACCAGUAGAAAAAUAUCACUUUUCUACCCAUAACAGGAUCAAGUGUAAAAAAAAGUCAGUGAAUCAAUAUUGUUGUCAAAAUAGAAUCUUUAAUUCAAGACUAAAAGUCACUGUUACCACAUUAGCGAACUGCAAGGCUCUCUAAGAGAUUGUAGUUUGCAGAUUCUUGUUAUAGUUACCACACACACACUGUUCCUUACUUUUAAUCACCAUCAUGAGAUGGGAAAUUUUUGUCAAUGUAUAAAUGUUACUGCUACAAACUAGGCCUUUUUAAAAGGCCUAGCUUGUAGCGUCGAGAGGUAUAUAUGUAUUGGCCCUUGUAAAUAGCUUUUUCAUAGAUUUAAGAUUUAAGUUUGUUAUUUAAACCAUGUUUCUAGUAAAACUUUGUGAUUUAAGCAAAAUAACCCGGUGCGUCAUGAGAAAUUCUUUCCCCGUGCAAUUCAAACCCCUAAGCAUAGAAAACUGCAUUCAAAAUGUGUUUAUUCAAGAUUUUAAUUUGAACUGAUUACUAUAUUUAUAGAGUUAUAUAUGGCGGGUGCUAGGGUUUAUGUAUAUCCUAGUCCUAGACAAGGAUAUCUAACUGUUGUCAGCUCCUAAUAAAGUUGCAUCUAAUGUAACCCCCUCCCUUGUUAAUACCCUCUUCCUUAAACUCAUACUCCCCCUUUAAUCCCUUGUUUUUACCCUCAAAAUCCCUUGUCCAUACUCUUUAAUUCCUUGUUCUCACCCCCUUUAAUCCCUUGUUCUUACCCCCUCUAAAUCCCUUGUCCAUAUCCCUCUUUAAUCCCUUGUUCUUACCCCUCUAAAUCCUUGUUCAAUCACACUUUAUUCCCAUGUUCUUUCCCUCUGAAUCUCUUGUUCAUAUCUCCUAAUCCCUUGUUCUUACCCCUUUAAUCCAUUAUUCAAACCCUCCUUCAAUCCCUUGUUCAACCACCCUUCAAUCCCUUGUUCUUGCCCCCUUUAAACCCUUGUUCAACCACCCUUCAAUCCCAUGUUCUUACCCCUUUAAACCUUUGUUCAACCACCCUUCAAUCCCUUGUUCUUGCCCCCUUUAAACCCUUGUUCAACCACUCUUCAAUCCCUUGUUCUUACCCUUUUAAUUCCUUGUCCAUACCCUUCAAUUCCUUGUUCUUUCCCCUCUUAAUUCCUUAUCCAUACCCUUCAAUUCCUUGUUCUUACCCUCUUAAUUCCUUAUCCAUACCCUUCAAUUCCUUGUUCAUAAUCAUACCCUCCUUCAAUCCCUUGUUCAUAUCUUGAACAAUUGCUUGGAAGCCAGCAGCCCGGGAUAAAACAUGUUCGCAACUUUUCUGAACAUUCCAGUGCUUCAAUUAAAAUCAAACUUGUAUAACCCUAGAUAAAAACAUCGAACACCCCCUAGCUGAAUGCUCCCUUGUCUAAACCAUGAUUAGCUUGUUACCUUGAUCCAUAUAUCCUUCCCCAAGAGCAGUUUUAUUUAGUAUUUUGUUGAAUAUCUCGAAUGAAUCAUGGUUGCUGUCGGAAAUUUUUACUCGUCGAAAAUUCAGAUUAAAACUUAUUGAUUAAUGUCUAAUCUUAAGACAUUUUCAGUUUUUAAUUUGUUUAAAAAAUUUGUUUUCCGUUUUCAUCAUUAUAUCCGAUUGAAUUUAAAAGUUUCCGACUGUAACCCCUAGGUAUGAGAACGUUAUUGUAAAGUUUUAUUAUGUACUCGAUUACCGGUGAAUAAUUACCAGUGUACUGUUCAGUGUUCGUGUGUUCAGUUUUAACACUUCAAGAAAACCCUAUUUCAAGACUGAAACUUUUUUAAUUUUCUAAAACCCGCAAACUGUUUGAUUAAAAAAGGCAGAAUUUUCAAACAGAUAAUAAUUCCAAGCUUCCGUCUCGUUCCGAACACAUGGAGAUUUUAAACAUCACUGUUUCGCUAAAUUUAAGAUAUUUCUGAAGUUUACCUCUUUCCGUCAGUUUUUAACAUUUUAAACAUUUAGAUACUAAACUGUUAAGUAUGCUCAUUUCUGCUUUAUAAUGUAUACUGUGGGGUAGGGGUAUACAGGUUCUUGAUGCUCAAUACCUCUCAUCCAAUCCAUCUACAUUGUCCAAUCCCAAUCCAAUCCAUCUCCAUUGUCCAAUCCCAAUUCAAUCAUUACCCAAUCCGUGUCCAUUGUCCAAUCCAAAUUCAAUCCUUUCGCAAUCCGUGACCAUUGUCCAGUCCCCCAUCAAACCUUAUCCGAAAAUCAAAGAUGCCAAAAUCUAUAUAAAAUUCUAAACCUUUUUCCUAACUCCCUAAACCAAAUUAUAAUCCUCAAUCCUAAUCCUAAUUUUUAAAUAAAAUUUGUAUCCUUAAAUCCAAUUCCACUGAUCCCUUCCAAUUCACAUGUUAUCCCUUCUAAUCCUCAUGUGAUCCCUCCUACUUGCUCCUAUCCUGUUCUAUAGUUCAAAUAAAAUAUAAUCUGUACUACCUCUACCCUGGAGAACGAAUUUUUUGAAAAUUAAUAAACGGUUAUGUAGA